rnacentral:tRNA from 1 species
CCGGGUAGACGAAUUGGCAUAGUCGGUGGCCUUAAAAGCCAUGGCUCGCAAGAGCGCUGCGGGUUCGAGUCCCGCCCCGGGCA